UACUCACGUCGAUGCCAUCAGAACCAGGCACUCCUGGUGGCCCUGGUGGCCCUGGAGGACCCGGCUCUCCCGGCGGACCUCUCUGAAAACACACACAAGAAUGCAGCCCUCAGACAAACUGUCGGGGGUACUAUUGGGGUGACAGGCUGAGGAUGAAGAAACACACACAGAAAGAUUAAAGAUACAGUGGUGAACGAACACCUCUCCCUCGUCCCCCGGUGGGGGUUAGAUGCCCGCAGAGAAGGCAAGUGUGAAGAAGGGAAGCUGGGACUCUUCUCACUUGGUCCUCCCUGAGGUGGUCCUCAUAAUGGGCCAGCCCAGAGUCAGGAAGAUGUCCCACUGGCGCCAGGUACCCUCCCCAGGUCAAGAAGUGCCAGACUGGUUCCCCAUAGGCAUGCUGCACCCCACAACCAACAUCACUUGGCACGGGGGGUGGGGGUUGGGGGACCGCAUCAGGCCCAAGGUCCCCGGUAGGUCCCACUCGGAGCAUACCUUUCCCAGCCCCCAGCCGUCCCUCUGAAGUGAGACAGGAGCUCACAAGUCGGUCAGAGGAGAUGCAGAGGGGCCACAGGGAAGUCUGGCUGGAGUCCGGGCCCCUUAGGAGGCUCCAGAGGCGGAGGCUCCGCUGUCGACUGAAUGCCCACCAUUGUCUCCACCACCACCUGGGCUCUCCCUGUUGCCAGGACCCUGCGCCAGCUCCUGCCCGACGCUGCCUCUCUCA